rnacentral:rRNA from 1 species
ACUUAAAUUGAAGAGUUUGAUCAUGGCUCAGAUUGAACGCUGGCGGCAGGCCUAACACAUGCAAGUCGAGCGGUAGCACAGAGAGCUUGCUCUCGGGUGACGAGCGGCGGACGGGUGAGUAAUGUCUGGGAAACUGCCUGAUGGAGGGGGAUAACUACUGGAAACGGUAGCUAAUACCGCAUAAUGUCGCAAGACCAAAGUGGGGGACCUUCGGGCCUCAUGCCAUCAGAUGUGCCCAGAUGGGAUUAGCUAGUAGGUGGGGUAAUGGCUCACCUAGGCGACGAUCCCUAGCUGGUCUGAGAGGAUGACCAGCCACACUGGAACUGAGACACGGUCCAGACUCCUACGGGAGGCAGCAGUGGGGAAUAUUGCACAAUGGGCGCAAGCCUGAUGCAGCCAUGCCGCGUGUGUGAAGAAGGCCUUCGGGUUGUAAAGCACUUUCAGCGGGGAGGAAGGCGGUGAGGUUAAUAACCUCACCGAUUGACGUUACCCGCAGAAGAAGCACCGGCUAACUCCGUGCCAGCAGCCGCGGUAAUACGGAGGGUGCAAGCGUUAAUCGGAAUUACUGGGCGUAAAGCGCACGCAGGCGGUCUGUCAAGUCGGAUGUGAAAUCCCCGGGCUCAACCUGGGAACUGCAUUCGAAACUGGCAGGCUAGAGUCUUGUAGAGGGGGGUAGAAUUCCAGGUGUAGCGGUGAAAUGCGUAGAGAUCUGGAGGAAUACCGGUGGCGAAGGCGGCCCCCUGGACAAAGACUGACGCUCAGGUGCGAAAGCGUGGGGAGCAAACAGGAUUAGAUACCCUGGUAGUCCACGCCGUAAACGAUGUCGAUUUGGAGGUUGUGCCCUUGAGGCGUGGCUUCCGGAGCUAACGCGUUAAAUCGACCGCCUGGGGAGUACGGCCGCAAGGUUAAAACUCAAAUGAAUUGACGGGGGCCCGCACAAGCGGUGGAGCAUGUGGUUUAAUUCGAUGCAACGCGAAGAACCUUACCUGGUCUUGACAUCCACAGAACUUUCCAGAGAUGGAUUGGUGCCUUCGGGAACUGUGAGACAGGUGCUGCAUGGCUGUCGUCAGCUCGUGUUGUGAAAUGUUGGGUUAAGUCCCGCAACGAGCGCAACCCUUAUCCUUUGUUGCCAGCGGUUAGGCCGGGAACUCAAAGGAGACUGCCAGUGAUAAACUGGAGGAAGGUGGGGAUGACGUCAAGUCAUCAUGGCCCUUACGACCAGGGCUACACACGUGCUACAAUGGCAUAUACAAAGAGAAGCGACCUCGCGAGAGCAAGCGGACCUCAUAAAGUAUGUCGUAGUCCGGAUUGGAGUCUGCAACUCGACUCCAUGAAGUCGGAAUCGCUAGUAAUCGUAGAUCAGAAUGCUACGGUGAAUACGUUCCCGGGCCUUGUACACACCGCCCGUCACACCAUGGGAGUGGGUUGCAAAAGAAGUAGGUAGCUUAACCUUCGGGAGGGCGCUUACCACUUUGUGAUUCAUGACUGGGGUGAAGUCGUAACAAGGUAACCGUAGGGGAACCUGCGGUUGGAUCACCUCCUUACCUUAAAGAA